GACGUAGGGCGCGAGCGUUGUCCGGAUUUAUUGGGCGUAAAGAGCUCGUAGGCGGCUCGUUGCGUCGGCUGUGAAAACCCGCAGCUCAACUGUGGGCUUGCAGCUGAUACGGGCGGGCUGGGAUUCGGUAGGGGAGACUGGAAUUCCUGGUGUAGCGGUGAAAUGCGCAGAUAUCAGGAGGAACACCAGCGGCGAAGGCGGCGCUCUGGGCCGGAACUGACGCUGAGGAGCGAAAGCGUGGGUAGCAAACAGG
rnacentral:rRNA from 1 species